UACGAAGGGGGCUAGCGUUGUUCGGAUUUACUGGGCGUAAAGCGCACGUAGGCGGAUCGUUAAGUGAGGGGUGAAAUCCCAGGGCUCAACCCUGGAACUGCCUUUCAUACUGGCGAUCUUGAGUCCGGAAGAGGUGAGUGGAACUCCUAGUGUAGAGGUGGAAUUCGUAGAUAUUAGGAAGAACACCAGUGGCGAAGGCGGCUCACUGGUCCGGUACUGACGCUGAGGUGCGAAAGCGUGGGGGAGCAAAACAGG
rnacentral:rRNA from 1 species